rnacentral:tRNA from 1 species
UCCGCGAUAGCUCAAUGGUGGAGCAUUCGGCUGUUAACCGAAGGGUUGCAGGUUCGAGCCCUGCUCGCGGAGCCA